rnacentral:misc_RNA from 1 species
AACGCACCUUGCGCUCCUUGGUAUUCCGAGGAGCAUGCCUGUUUGAGUGUCAGUAAAUUUUCAACCCCUCCAGCUUCGCUGUUGGUUUGGGGCUUGGAUAAUGGAGGUGCUGCUGGCCUUGUACAAGGUUAGCUCCUCUGAAAUGCAUUAGCAGAACCGUUUGCGAUCUGUUACAGGCAUGAUAAUUAUCUAUGCCAGUAGAUCGCUCUCUGUCUUGUUCAGCUACCAAUCGUCUGUAAAAGACAAUUAUUACUGAAUCUUUGACCUCAAAUCAGGUAGGACUACCCGCUGAACUUAA